rnacentral:rRNA from 1 species
UACGUAGGGGGCUAGCGUUGCUCGGAAUCACUGGGCGUAAAGGGUGCGUAGGCGGGUUUUAAGUCAGAGGUGAAAUCCUGGAGCUACAACUCCAGAACUGCCUUUGAUACUGAAAGUCUUGAGUGAUGGGAGAGGUGAGUGGAACUGCGAGUGUAGAGGUGAAAUUCGUAGAUAUUCGCAAGAACACCAGUGGCGAAGGCGGCUCACUGGCCCAUUACUGACGCUGAGGCACGAAAGCGUGGGGAGC